UAAAGCAACCAGGAAAACAGGAUGCAGUGACACAGUAAACGAAAAAGCGCCCCAAUAUUAAACUGUUUUUAAGGGCUUUUAUUUAUAUCAGGAUAAAAUAUAAACAUACUAAAAUGUUAAUUAGAUUUUGGCUAUUAGGAGUGUGGCCUAUUUAAGUUGAUACUGUAUUUUUCUUUAGUAAGCAGGUGAAAAAUAAUUUGGAAAAAAGCAGGUCUCAUUAGCAACAAACUUCUUCUUUAUUUAGUUAGAUAUUGGGCAUUGGUGUAGAUGUUGGGGAUACAGUCCAUAAUACCUCUUCCCUCAACAGGGAGGUCAAAAUAUUGAACAGUAAUUGUAAGGUUAAAGAGUAUUAUAAAAGGGACCUUCUACUGGAAGGAGGUAUAUAGCAGUAAGAUUUAACCCAUUCCAGUAAUAAAAUUUCCAAUCAAUUUUAGUGCUAGAGAGAACCUUUGAAAUGUUCAAGGAACUACAUUUUUAGAAGGCUAGGGAGGUAAGUGAGUUUGUAUAGUUGGGUAACAAAUUGGUACAGUUAGAAUUGGGAUUUAAUUUAGGUGUCCUAGCUCCAAGUUUUUUCCCCAGUAGAUGUACCAGACUGUCUAGUUGAAGUUGGCUCUCUUAAUGUGAAAUUAGCUCCCUCUUUAAAGGCUGUUAUACUAGGUAGAAGUUCUUUGAUAAAGAGAUUAGCCGACUUGGGUGCUCUCCUUUGAUCUCAUUUAAUCCCAAAGAGAUAUUUCACUUCUUAACCUCUUCAUCCACACCCCACCCCCUAGUCUAUUAAUUCUUACCUUCUCUUCACUUUCUUCUCUGUCUAGCUUCGACUUUGUAUUUUUAGCAAGCAGUGGAGGUCAACUUUGGCUAGGUUGAAUAGAAAUAGUAUUUAUUGAGUUAUUAGGUACCUCACAUGGUCUUCAAAGGUGCCAAUGAGGCAUUCAGGAAACAAGGCUCAGAAUCCCAUCAUGGUGGAGACUUCACUGCCAGCAUUGUAUGCAUCACACUCUGCAGUUUGAUUGCAGAUGCCAAGUACAGCAUGCUACUCUAGAACCCCUUCUGUUGCUGUCUGAAGGUAACUACUCCACAGUGGGUCUUUCUUGUGUAUUUUAGCUUUGAUACACAGGUUUUGACUGAGCCUAGGUCUUAGAUGCUGGGCAGACAGCUAGGAAAUCUUAUGAGACUAAAGCUGCUGUUGAGGGAUCUGGGAAUCCAUAAAGGCUGGGGGAUUAUUUAUUUCACAACAAGGCUCUUGUCAGGUUGUUAAAAGGAAUGAUGAAGGUCCAUUAUGAACCUCAUUUUGCCUCAUGCUGCCAGGCAUUCCUUAUACGUGACUAUAGAUAAGUUUUUCUAUUUUCAAACUUCCACAUUCUUAAGCUCCCAGUUUCAGCAUUACACUCAGGAAGGGGAGGGAAGAUAUGAAUGAAUGGGGGGAUUUUACUAUUGCUUAAUAGAUGAGUUUGUAGACAAAUGGCUACAAUUACACAUAAAGGCCUUAAAAUGAAUUAUCAACUUCAAGUAACCAGUUAAAAGUUUAAGAAAGAAACCCACAAUUGAGGUAAUUUCUAACUUAAAUGCUGAAUUUUUUAAAAAGUACAUGUUCACUGGUUUUUGCUAAUACAU